CCCCUCCCCCCCCCCGUCCCUGUCCCCGGCAUGUUUACAAGCCUCCCUUUUUAACCAGUGUAAGGAAAUUAAUGAGAUGCUGCUGCUUUUAGAAUUGUUUUUAACCAUGGGAGCAAUCAGUGUUGGAUCACAUGUACUAAGCAGGCCAACUCAAAUUGAAAUAAUUAGGAAUGGAGAUUGUGGUUAUGUUUGGUGGGGGAGGAAGGGAUGGAGACAUGGGCCCAUCUGCCUUAUCAAAUCUGCAGUUUGAGAGUCAUGUUUAGAACACAAAUUUUAGUAACAUGGUUAAAGCAGGGUUAGUCACUGGCAAGACUUAAUUCCUGCACAGCUUGCAUGGUUCACAGGGACUCACUGAAUCGUUAUUCUGUUUUUCAAAUACCCAAAGGAAAUUCUCAUUAAAAAACAAACAACUUUAUACUGGAGUAAAAGUUGUAUAUUUCUAUCAAUUACUGAAGAGACAGCCCUUCGGAGAACCUGGCAGUUUUCUCAAAAAACCUCACAACUAAGUUUUUCCAAAAUUUCUACUGUUUAAGUUACAUUUAAAACAAAACAAAAUAAGGAAGGGCAUAGUUAGGCCACUAGAAAUUUAGAUUGACACAAGCCAGCUUAGGUCAGCCUAGCUGUGCAUGUGUCUUCACUUUAAAUUAGUUUCCCACUUUUGUAAGCACCCUGUUAUGCCAACAUAGUAACACCACCUCCCUGAGUGACACAGGGCAAUUGUAGACACUGAAUUACCUAUGUUGAGCCCAACUGUCCUCCAGCAGCUGAGGACCUUUCAGGUCAUCAUUAUGAACUCCACUGCGCAGGCGUCAUGGAGACUGAGACUGGAAGCCCCCCCCGUCCCUUUAAAGCCUAGUGAAUUUUUGAAAUUCCUUUUCUUGAUUGUCCAGCUUGACGAGCACACCUAGCAGCUCUCCAUUGUAGAGUGCAACUGCCCAGCUGCCCCUGCUGGUUGUGUGCUCCAGAAGCACUCCAGCUUGGAGUAGACAGGAGAUACGGGGUCUCCUGGGCCUGUGGGAAGAAGAGGCUGUGCAGGCACAGCUCUGAACAAGCUGUAAAAAUGUUGGCAUCUAUGAGCAGAUGGCUCAGGGGAUGCAGAAGAACUGGUACGAUGGGGACCAGCAGCCGUGCAAUGUGAAAGCCCAGGAACUGCAGCAGGCGUACCAGAAGGCCAGGGAGGCCAACAAUCAAUCUGGUGCUGAGCCGCAGAUGUGCCACUUUUACAAAGCGCUACAAGCCAUACUCAGUGGAGGACACCCCCUCCCCACACACAGCACUAUGGAUACCUCUGAGGAGCCCACUGAGUCACAGACCCCGAUAUGAACAGCAAGGAGGUGGAGGAGGAGUAUGGGGGUCAGGCGACCUGGGAUCCAGCUGCGCAGCGAGCCAGAUCCUAUUUUUAACUCUGCCACAGUCUCACCAGUCGAUCAAGGGCGAGCCCGAUGCAAGGAAAGGAAUCUCAGCUGUUGUCAUUGCGGCCUUCACACUCCCUUUCAGACCUGUAGAAUGCCUGCGCCAGAUAAAGAGGAGAAAGAAGAGGACUCAGGAUGACAUGUUCAGUGAGAUCCUGCAAGCCACUGCCGCAUCAGACUGCGAGCACAGGGCUGGAGGAUGAAUAUUGCAGACAGCCUGGAGAAGGAAAGAGUGGAGAGGAGAAAGCUCCAGCAGGAAAAGGAGAGGAAGAUGCACCAAGACAUAAUGGCUUCUAAGGCAGCGCAAACAGAUGCUGCAGACUGUGGUGGAUCUGCAGGUUCAACAGUCCCGGGCUCACCUCACUCUGCAGCCCAUUGAGAACUCAGUAUCAGGACCUCCCUAUACCUCCCCCCAUCCCCGCAACAUUCCAUGUGGCAUCAGGGGCCUCUGCACUACCCCUGGCAUGCCACCCGGGGGACAUUAAAGACAAUCACAGCCAAACAUAUCUGAAAGCCACAGUUGGUGCAUGUGUAGCUGAAAUGGGCAUCAGUGUUCUUUCCCCUUCAUAAGUUCUGUUCUCUUUAUUAAAUUUUAAGUUUUGUAAUAUAUUUGUUUUAAAAUUGC